UGGGCAUUUAUGCUUUAAAUACAAAAAAAG
rnacentral:piRNA from 1 species